GACCAAGGGAUUGAGUUAUAUGUAUAGGUUAAAAAGAUAGUUAAGUAAAAUAUAUAAAUGUAAUGAUUUCUUAUAAGAGGGUAAAAUUUGAAUAUAAGAAACUAAUUUGGUUUAUGUUUUUAUACUGAAUCUAUGAUAGUUGUGAGGGAAACUGGGAUUAGAUACCCCAUUAUUCACUAUUGUAAAUAGAUUAAAUUUACCUGAGUACUAUGAAUUAUAAAGUUUAAAACUCAAAGGGCUUGGCGGUGUUUUAGACCUAUUAGGGGAACCUGUCUCAUAAUCGACAAUCCACGAUAUACCUGGCCUUUUUUUGUAAAUCAGUUUGUAUACCGUCGUCGUCAGGUAACUUUUAAAAAGAAAGAAGUUGGCAUUAAUAAUAAUGUAAAUUAAGACGUCAGAUCAAGGUGCAGCUUAUAAAAAGGAGAGGAUGGGUUACAAUUAUGAAAUAGUAAAUAUGGAUAGUUUAAUGGAAAAAGCUUAAAGGCGGACUUAAAAGUAAUUAUGUAAUAUAUAAAUGUUUUGAAUUAGGCUCUGAAACGUGC
rnacentral:rRNA from 1 species